UGCGAGUCGAGAGGGUUCGGCCCUCGGCAGACGGCUCAGUAACACGUGGAUAAUCUGCCCUUAGGUGGAGGAUAACCUCGGGAAACUGAGAAUAAUACUCCAUAGAUCUAAGAUGCUGGAAUGCACUUAGAUUGAAAGUUCCGGCGCCUAAGGAUGAGUCUGCGGACUAUCAGGUAGUAGUCAGGGUAAAGGCCUGACUAGCCUACGACGGAUACGGGUUGUGAGAGCAAUAACCCGGAGACGAUAUCUGAGACACGAUAUCGGGCCCUACGGGGCGCAGCAGGCGCGAAACCUUCGCACUGUGCGAAAGCACGAUGAGGGAAUCCCAAGUGCUUGCUCGUAAGAGUAAGCUGUUUUUAUGUCUAAAAAGCAUAGAGAGUAAGGGCUGGGUAAGACGGGUGCCAGCCGCCGCGGUAAUACCUGCAGCUCAAGUGGUGACCGCUAUUAUUGGGCCUAAAACGUUCGUAGCCGGUUUGAUAAAUGCCUGGGUAAAUCGUGUAGCUUAACUAUACGAAUUCCGGGUAGACUGUCAAACUUGAGACCGGGAGAAGCUAGAGGUACUCCUGGGGUAGAGGUGAAAUUCUGUAAUCCUAGGGGGACCACCAGUGGCGAAGGCGUCUAGCUAGAACGGGUCUGACGGUGAGGAACGAAGCCCUGGGGCGCGAACCGGAUUAGAUACCCGGGUAGUCCAGGGUGUAAACGCUGCUUGCUUGAUGUUAGUUGGGCCCCGAGCCCAAUUAGUGUCGGAGAGAAGUUGUUAAGCAAGCUGCCUGGGAAGUACGAUCGCAAGAUUGAAACUUAA
rnacentral:rRNA from 1 species